CUACGGGCCGCAGCAGUAGGGAAUCUUAGACAAUGGGGGAAACCCUGAUCUAGCCAUGCCGCGUGAGUGAUGAAGGCCUUAGGGUUGUAAAGCUCUUUCGCUGGGGAAGAUAAUGACGGUACCCAGUAAAGAAACCCCGGCUAACUCCGUGCCAGCAGCCGCGGUAAUACGGAGGGGGUUAGCGUUGUUCGGAAUUACUGGGCGUAAAGCGCGCGUAGGCGGGCUAUUAAGUCAGGGGUGAAAUCCCGGGGCUCAACCCCGGAACUGCCUUUGAUACUGGUAGUCUUGAGUUCGAGAGAGGUGAGUGGAAUUCCGAGUGUAGAGGUGAAAUUCGUAGAUAUUCGGAGGAACAUCAGUGGCGAAGGCGACUCACUGGCUCGAUACUGACGCUGAGGUGCGAAAGUGUGGGGAGCAAACAGGAUUAGAUACCCCAGUAGUC
rnacentral:rRNA from 1 species